GGUUGGCCUAAUUCUGCUUGAAUUAGAAGGGUUAAGGCGAUGCCCAGUAUCCCCGCUCAUGCACGAAAUAGCAGGAAUAAAAUCCAAGUUCACCUAUAGCGGAUUCGGAGGGGACCAGCCUUCCACGAUGAUUUAAAAUGCAAGCAUCUUGACAGAGGUCAGAAGCCAAGAUUCUUUUCAAAAGGAGAUACGUUCAGACAUUCCCCUCUGCUGUUGGAAGUGUAAGCUAACAUUGAAACAUGGGCAGUAAUGAAAUUCUCUGGUAAAGAAUUAUACCUAAUUUAUGAAACAGCUCCUGUAUCAGUGAUACAAAAGCAGGCUGGGGAAGAGAACAGAAUGGCUUUUGUUUCUUACACAAUAGCUGUAACACUAACAGCUGCCGGGCCUCACACAUCACCUUUCUAACUGCUAAAUACACAAAGUGGCCGCCUCCGGUGUCAAGAGCCAGCAACCAGUACCAGUGAUGGUGGGUGUCUCCGGAGAAUGACUGGGCAUCACAAUGAUUCACAGUCAACCCAAUUUUGUGCCCAGGUUUUAAUUAUAAACAUAUCCAUUGCCAGGUAUGAUGAAGUCCUCUGACCUGAAAAAAUCAUGUUUUCCUUUUAUUAGUAUAGAUGGUUUUUAAGUGCCCUGAAAAAAAAAUUCUUCCUAGCCUGGACACCCCUUUCAGUGACAACUGUAAAUGAAGACAGCUUCUGCUGCUUUGUGAAGGGUUUGUUCUGCACAGAAGCAGGAAGC